rnacentral:misc_RNA from 1 species
AACGGUCUAUACCUGCGGUACCUGCGGAGGGAUCAUUAAAGAGUUUAACUACUCAAACCAUUGUGAACCUUACCUCAACCGUUGCUUCGGCGGGCGGGCCCGGGCCAAGCCCGGCGCCCCCCCGGCCCCUCGCGGGCGCCCGCCGGAGGUUAACCGAACCCUUGAAUUGUAUGGCCUCUCUGAGUCUUCUGUACUGAAUAAGUCAAAACUUUCAGCAACGGAUCUCUAGAUCGGAAGAGC